rnacentral:misc_RNA from 1 species
GGAGUGCGAUAAGUGUCACGACUUGCAGAACCCCGAGAGCUGACAAAUUUCUGAAUGCAAAUGGCGACCUCAUGGUCAUGUAUCGCAGAGUGUAGUAGUUCAUACUCAUCAUCCCUUGCUUCUUCAACGGCGGGGGAACCUGCGCUUGCUCUUCUCAGCGAGCGUUAAAAGUCAGAGCGGAGUUGAGAGACACCCAUGUCUCCUCAACUACCGACUUCGGACUCUUUCACGAGAACGAGAAGUCAGACAAGGCUCUGAUGAUGCCGAUUUAGCUCAUCACCUCUGCGAUGCAGGAAAACCCGCUGAACUUAA